CGACUACGAUAAUUUUUUCCGGCUGCCGUGUAUAGCCGGUUACGACUACGUAGCGCGGCGUGACGGUGAGGACGAGCAGUCACAAGACUGGAAACGUCACGCACAUCGUGCUUUAUUCACAUCGGAUAAAUACGAUAAAUACAACGGCGACUUGUUGGCAAACUGGCAUUUGAGCGCCAAACAUCGGUAGACCUGAAUAUCGGGUAGUUCCGAAAAAAUAUUAGAUAAUAAUAAUAGAAGUAGUGUACAGUUAGUUGUCAGUGAUUCGAUUAAUACAGAUUCUUCUUGAACCAAUCCAAAUUCACCCAAAAACUAAAAGAAAAUGGACCACUCCAAAAUCUACAACCGCUUGGAAUCAUACGAAAGUCAGAUUUCAUCUAGCAACGACACAAAAUCUGACGUUUCGUACCAUAUGAUGAAGCAGUCUCUUCAUAACAUAUGGUCGCUGGUCUAUUCAUCCGAAAACAGCGAUUCCAGGACGACCAACAUCAAAAAAAUCCAGGAAUGCCUGACAAGUUUGGAGAAAAAGGUUGGAGAGAAUGAGGAAAAGAAGUACCAACGGUACUACGGAAAACCUCAUCUGGCACGAAGUGAAAAAUGCUGUUAAAAUUCUUAUUUUUAUCAAUUUUAACUUACUAGAGCGUGUACUUGUAUGAUUUUUUCUUAAAAAACUCAAAUUUUUAAUGCAAGUAAAAACACCACACUUUUUUCUUCAGUAUUUCGAAAAAUAUUUUACUGCUUUUGCUUUUAAGUUAAAAUGUUUUUAUUUCUCAAAUUAUCAAUCUUCAGACAAAGCAGUAUUUAGUUUUCUUUUUUUUUGUAUUUCUUUCUGUGAUAUUUUUUCCUCAUAAUUUAAGUUUGCAAAAUUCUGUGUUUUCAAAAAAUAAAGCAAAUAAUAAAAAUAAUUUUUUGACAUGUAUAAAAUUCUUAUUCUCUGAAACAUUGUAUCUAAUUUUAAGGAUGCAUGUUUUUUUUUAUUUAAUUUAAUAAGACUAAAUUAUUCUGUAAAUUUAUGUGGAGAUUAGAUACGUAAAUUGUUAUUCUUUAGAGUUUGUACAGGGAUGUGCAGACAUUAAUGUAUAGUCUAUAAAUUAUAUUUUGCUUUUGUAAAGCAAACGUAAUUUAGGUAAUAAAAUGUUAAUAAACAUUAUAUUUUUUAGAUA